rnacentral:rRNA from 1 species
ACACGACUACAUUAGAUACCCGCGUAGUCCUAGCCGUAAACGAUACUCGCUGGGUGUCGGCCACGGUGCGACCGUUGUCGGUGCCGUAGGGAAGCCGUGAAGCGAGCCACCGUGGGAAGUACGGCCGCAAGGCUGAAAACUUAAAGGAAUUGGCGGGGGAGCACAACAACGGGUGGAGCUUGCGGUUUAAUUGGAUUCAACGCCGGAAAUCUUACCGGGACCGACAGCAACAUGAAGGCCAAGCUGAAGACUUUGCCGGAUUAGCUG